CAUGAAGCCCCCCUCGAGAUGAGAUUUCCCAUAGCGUCAAGCUAGUAAGAUCCCUGAAAGAUGAUCAGGUUGAUAGGUCAGAGGUGGAAGCGUGGCGACAUGUGGAGCUGACUGAUACUAAUCGAUCGAGGACUUAACCA
rnacentral:rRNA from 1 species